UACUUCAUCUCAAUUGUUUCAUUUUUCUUUCUCCCUUACUUAAAGUUAUCGAGUAAUUAAACAAAAUUACAGGACGCAUCAACGUAUACUUCAUUGUGCACCUUCGUCACAACAUUAUUGCAAUUUUUAUUGCUAUUGUGCAAUAAAACGAGUGCUCUUUACUAUUAUAGAUCGUUCGUAUUUAUGUGUGUGCUUACAAUUAAUAGAAAGGAAACGAAUAAUAAAACUAUUUUAUUCAUAAAUGGAUUAAUCAUUAACAAGCACAAUGAUGCUCGCAAUUUUGUUAGGUUCAAUUUUUACUCUAUUUGUAAUACACUGUUAUUUGAGAUAUAGAAGAGUUGGAAGACUGUUAAGUUUAAUUCCAGGACCGACCGAGUACCCGUUAAUAGGAAAUGUUCAUCAUUUACAUGUAGAUGAUGACCGUGUACUUCAGAAAUUAUGGAAACUUAAUAACGAAUAUUAUCCAAUUUACAAACUAUGGAUCCUACAUAUUAAUGCAGUGAUUUUACUCGAUCCGGAUGAUA